UUUGCCACCAGGGCUUUUUAGCAAACAUAUAAGAAGUUUUAAGGCCUUCAUAAAAGUUGUCUGGGGUGCCCAAAUUCUCUCUUUCAUGAUUCAUUGUAAAAUUGUGCAAAACAACAUUUAAACAAUAAUAUUGAUCAAUAAGUGUCUUUUUCUUAAAACACAAAUUUUCAGAUCCUCCUCUUCCUCUAUUCUCAUCUACAGCUUUGCACUUGGAUUCUUUUUCUAAAGUCGUCCUGCAGUCUACCUUCACGUUUGAGAGUGCAGAAUCCUGUUCUACGUCCUGACUCAGACGAUAUGGCCGAAAUAAUGGCAGACAUCCUCCCAAAGAGAAAAGCUAAAGGUGUUGACUUCUGUGGAGGAAACGCAGAUCAACAUUAUAUUAUACGCUCUGACUUUGGCUGCUACAUGUACUCAACAAAUAUCCAUCAAGGACUCAACCUUACAGUGAAGCCCUUACACCCCUCCUGUCAGGGAGGGGAUCACUACCUCGCCUCUGAAGACAAGUUUUACAUCAUCAAGGGCAACCGAUACCGCUGUGUGUCUGAUAUGAGUAAAGAUUUAGAUUCUGCAGUCUAUGACCUCCACCCAUGUUGUCAAGGGGGUGACCACUAUUUGUUUUCUUCUGGACAGUUCUUCAUAAUCUUUCAGAGCAAAGGAAAGUGUUGCAUGACUUCUGAUUUGAAACAGAAAAUAAAUGGUUUUGAAAUCAGUCUUAA